CACCAAAGCCCCCUGAGCCACUCAGUGCUUCACACGUGCACCACCGAAGCUCCCCGAGCCGCUUCCCUACCACCAGCGCCGCUGCUGGCGUUGGGACCGAGGAAGCUCCACCGCCGUGACAGCCCCGCCAUGGACCGCCGCCGACAAGCCACCUCCGCCAUCGAGCCCCUCAGCGCAAGUCCUCACGGUUGUGAGGUAGAUGUCAAUGAGUUUGCUGCCAGUUUGACUUGGCCGACACAGCUCCCUUCAGGUUGGAUGGUCGAGUGGGACCCAUCCUCGGUCGGCGAGGAUCGUGGUAACUGACGUCAUGGUCGGCUUUGCCAUGAUGUUUCUACUCCGACGAUUAGUUACCAUACUUUUUCCGCUACUUGAACUCUGAACAAUUUACCUUAUGCACUUUUGAACAAUUGUGAUGUAAUAACUAAAGUUGGACCUAUGUAUUAAUCUACUGAAAUGUUGUAAUC